UACGAAGGGGGCUAGCGUUGCUCGGAAUUACUGGGCGUAAAGGGAGCGUAGGCGGACAGUUUAGUCAGAGGUGAAAGCCCAGGGCUCAACCUUGGAAUUGCCUUUGAUACCGGCUGUCUUGAGUACGGGAGAGGUGUGUGGAACUCCGAGUGUAGAGGUGAAAUUCGUAGAUAUUCGGAAGAACACCAGUGGCGAAGGCGACACACUGGCCCGUUACUGACGCUGAGGCUCGAAAGCGUGGGGAGCAAACAGG
rnacentral:rRNA from 1 species